rnacentral:rRNA from 1 species
GAUGAACGCUGCGGCGUGCCUAAUACAUGCAAGUCGAGCGAACGGACGAGAAGCUUGCUUCUCUGAUGUUAGCGGCGGACGGGUGAGUAACACGUGGAUAACCUACCUAUAAGACUGGGAUAACUUCGGGAAACCGGAGCUAAUACCGGAUGAUAUUUUGAACCGCAUGGUUCAAAAGUGAAAGACGGUCUUGCUGUCACUUAUAGAUGGAUCCGCGCUGCAUUAGCUAGUUGGUAAGGUAACGGCUUACCAAGGCAACGAUGCAUAGCCGACCUGAGAGGGUGAUCGGCCACACUGGAACUGAGACACGGUCCAGACUCCUACGGGAGGCAGCAGUAGGGCAUCUUCCGCAAUGGGCGAAAGCCUGACAGAGCAACGCCGCGUGAGUGAUGAAGGUCUUCGGAUCGUAAAACUCUGUUAUUAGGGAAGAACAUAUGUGUAAGUAACUGUGCACAUCUUGACGGUACCUAAUCAGAAAGCCACGGCUAACUACGUG